CCGCGUGUGUGAAGAAGGCCUGAGGGUUGUAAAGCACUUUCAAUAGGAAGGAAUACCUAUCGGUUAAUACCCGGUAGACUGACAUUACCUAUACAAGAAGCACCGGCUAACUCCGUGCCAGCAGCCGCGGUAAUACGGAGGGUGCAAGCGUUAAUCGGAAUUACUGGGCGUAAAGCGUGCGUAGGCGGUUAUUUAAGUCAGAUGUGAAAGCCCUGGGCUUAACCUGGGAACUGCAUUUGAUACUGGAUGACUAGAGUUGAGUAGAGGAGAGUGGAAUUUCAGGUGUAGCGGUGAAAUGCGUAGAGAUCUGAAGGAACACCAGUGGCGAAGGCGGCUCUCUGGACUCAAACUGACGCUGAGGUACGAAAGCGUGGGUAGCAAACAGGAUUAGAUACCCUGGUAGUCCACGCCGUAAACGAUGUCAACUAACCGUUGGGUUCUUUGAGAACUUAGUGGUGGAGCUAACGUAUUAAGUUGACCGC
rnacentral:rRNA from 1 species